rnacentral:lncRNA from 1 species
UGUGAGCAUUCUUUUGGAAGGGAUAAAAUUCGUAAUUAAUUACACUUAAAUAGAGAGAGUUUCAAGUGAACAUUUUAACCUUUCUAUAUUGCUCAUCAUAGGGAUGGUGCCAAUGGGGAGGCUAGUGGUAAUACCCGGCACUAUUUGACCCAACUAUUCGGUGUAGGGCAUAUUAGGGACGGCACAAGAGUGAGGCUAGUGGUAGUACCUCAUGCCCCUUCCAACUCCACCGGAUAGGGAGCAAAUAGAGUAUAGAGUACAAGAAAGUAAAAAUGAAUGACAAAGUAAAUGAAAGUAUAAGAAGAAUCAAGUCAAGCUUUAAUCACUUGGAAACACACCUUAAGAAUGAAAUCAGUGCAAGAUUAUAUUUAAAUAAGGGGAGUUUAUUUGAAAAGAAUUGAUUUUGGUCCUUGACAUGCUUAUUCUUAAUAUUUCAAUGCAUGACUUAACACAUAAUCUAUUUUGCAUAUGGCAUGAUGUCUUGAAUUAUGGGUUCUCAAUAUUUUGUAAUGCUCCAUACUUGGAUAAGUUGAUUGGAAUAUGUCUUAACUUUGCUCACAAGUUUUUGCUUCACCCUUGCCUCAAACUAACUUGUGUUCCAAUGCUUGAAUGUUUGAAAUACUACAUAAAGUUUUUAAGUAAUAUUAAGCAGAAAUUUCAGUUUUAUCAUUCACGAUUAUCUUUGGAAGUUAAAUAGAUUUACAAAAAGAAGAAGAGAAGGAUACUUCUAUUUAGGCAAAAUGAAUUGAUCUUGAUCUAUCUUUCUGCUUGCCUAACUUUGAUACAUAAUGUCCUAAUACUUAUUAAAAUAUCC